GGGCCCGCACAAGCGGUGGAGCAUGUGGUUUAAUUCGAUGCAACGCGAAAAAACCUUACCUAUCCUUGACAUCCUGAGAAUCUCUUAGAAGUAAGAGAGUGCCUUCGGGAACUCGGUGACAGGUGCUGCAUGGCUGUCGUCAGCUCGUGUCGUGAGAUGUAGGGUUAAGUCCCAUAACGAGCGCAACCCCUAUCCUUACUUGCCAGCACGUAAUGGUGGGAACUUUAAGGAGACUGCCGGUGUUAAACCGGAGGAAGGUGGGGAUGAUGUCAAGUCAGCAUGGCCCUUACGGAUAGGGCUACACACGUGCUACAAUGGGCAGUACAAAGGGUUGCCAAGCCGCGAGGUGGAGCUAA
rnacentral:rRNA from 1 species